rnacentral:misc_RNA from 1 species
GUGAGUUAAUGACCUCGAAGUCGAGCUGCUGAUUCUAAUGAAGAAAUUCAUGUCGGACCGUUGAGAGAGGCGCUAGCACGCUCUUGUGAAACGAGAGAGUUCUUCUGCCGGCUAAGGACACUUUGAUGAUGUUUGCGUAUUAACUAAUGAUCCUCUCCACCUAUGUGCAUUCCCUGAUGAAGGAAAUUAUGGUUGAAAUUGAUGCGCGUGCCGCUGUUAACGAGCCGUGUGCAUCGCGUGUUGCCAUUUUUGGUUUAGAAACGUUUAAGGACACGAUGCAAGCACAACGCGACAUUUGUCGACGAUCACGGGUCACGCACAAGCGCCAUGGGACGUAGAUUCGACGAGUUUGCGUGGUAGACAGCUGGAUCGACGCUGGGCGUCGCCAUCGUGGGGUUGAAACGAACAGUAUAAAGCGGGGUGGCGUCGCUUUGGGACUUGAGAGGGGGAAGUCCGACAUAGUUGCACCAGCAGACAGUGGCGUGUCCGAUCGGCUCCACGGAGACUUGCAGACUGUCUCAUGAUCCGGCCUCGUCCCUCCUCGGGCCAGGAACAGUCAUUAACAUAAAUUGUCUUCGGUGACAGUUAUAUCCACCACUCUUCGCCACAGUCUCUACCGAAAUAAUAUUAAGCCGCGGAACUUCUGCCCUCUGGAGAGGACUCAUAAUCAAUUCGAUUUUCUCAAAUCUCCGUACGAACAGAACUGGGCCGUGUUUUGAUUAAAAUAUGUAACUAGGUUGUCAUGUAUUUUAUUAUUUUAUGCUUCUAUCGCGGAAUAUUAUGGAAUUAUGACAUGAAUGUAAUUAAGUACUUGUAAUGUUAGUAACUAACGC